AUCAGACCUUUGGUGUCCAUCUGGCCAAGGCGCAGGAUGUAGAGCGGGCGACCGUCUGUGAGGGUCCAGCAAAGAGAGGGACUUUAUUCAAGGGGAUGCCAGUGACAACGCCAAGUCAAGGCUACAGCACCUGCACUGAUCUCUGCCAUUGGAAAUAAGUCCCUUGCACCCACCUUGCCUUUGUGGGUCUCCUGCAACCAGUGCCGAAGCUGGAUCAGGCAGCUCUCCUGCAUGGGAGUGAGAUGGCCCAGGCACCUCUCGAUGUAGUCUGCAUCCAGCUUGUCCCCUGGGAGGAAGAGAGAGACUUAGGACCAGCGAGAGAUGCCUCACCCCUGACCACAUGGUCUAACCUUUCUGUUGUCCUUGAUUUACUUACUGGCCACUGUGGCUCUUGGAUGUGGUUCCAAGCCAGGCCAUGCCCCUCCCUAUUUUCUCUCCAACCCAUUUCCAAAGAGAUUCUGAAAAUCCAUGAUGCCGGGCCCUCCAAAGUCUCACUGUGGGAAGUGACUUCUCCUCUUUGACCCUCAGAAAAAUAGAGAUGAUCUGACUCUCCUGAGAGGUUCUGAAGAUCUUCACUAGGUGCUCAGGACAUGCCUGCUCUCAGGCUACUCCAGUUUCUUAGGAGAGAGAGUCAUUGUUAUCUCCACUUUGAAGAAUACUGAACCAAAGAGGGAGACUGAGUCCACAGAGUGACGAAGGCAAGGAGUAUGCCCAGCAGAGUGGGUGUGGGUCACAAACACCAGUCCCUUUUGCCUUCCCACCUCCCAAGUUCCCUUUACAGGGAAUGAGGCUUUUGGUACACAGAGCCUGGAUCCCUGUCUGCUUAGGGGUCUGAGAACACAUGGAUCAGCCCCACUGGAAAACCCAAGCUCACGUAAUCCAGCUGUUUGGGGUUAGCCUGUCACAGGCAUGCAGAGGCCAGGGUCUUAUUGCUAACUUCUUUUGUCUGUAUGGGAGAGUGAACCCUAAGCCUUUAUAUCGAGCUAUAUCCCUAGCCCUUUUUUACCUUUUAAGACCCAUCUCACUAACAUGUUAAAUGUCCAGGCUAGGCUCAGACUUGGAAUCCUCCUGCCUCGGCCUCCCAAAGUGCUGGGAUUACAGGCAUACACCACUAUGCCCGUGUUGUGCUGCUGACUCUUAACCACUGGGGUAGCAGAUUCUGGGACCCACUGCCUCCUAGCACCUCAGAAGGAGACAAAGAUGUUACACAAAGUGGCAGUCCCUGUAGGUAGAGCUGCUUCUUUGUGGAUGAUGGCACAAUACGAAAGUAAACUGAAUGUCAGUAUGUCCAACAGCAGUUCCUUUAUUUUUGGUUCCCCCCAAAUAGAGGAACCCAGGGCCAAGGGCCACACCAACUGUUUCAGGAGCCAUCUGGGCAAACUGAGGCAGAGGGAUAUGCAGUGGGGUAAGUGGGACCAGCUGAGUUCAUGUAGUCAAAGACAGAGACUUCAGAGAUGAGGAGAGGCAAGCACAAACCGGAGGCAGGAGCUCCUCAAUCCUUCCGGCCCCGGGCAGAUGUGAGGGCCUUUUCUGUUUAUCAGUACAAAGGCCCAGUGAUCCAAGCGCUUCUGCCAGCCACCCUGAGCACCAGCACAGCUGGCAGACAGCACAGGAGAGAAGGGACAAAAGACACGUGCAAAA